UUUUUGAUUUUGAUAUCGAUUUUGAUACAUAUAAGGUGUCCUACGGAUAAUGCAAAUCGAAGCUAUUUGAUGUCUGACUCAGGCCUAUAUGACCGAUCGAUCGAAAUACUCCAAGACUCCACCUUUGUCAUAUAUUCCAUAUAUCACAUUAGAUAG
rnacentral:rRNA from 1 species